rnacentral:rRNA from 1 species
UACGAAGGGGGCUAGCGUUGCUCGGAAUUACUGGGCGUAAAGCGCACGUAGGCGGCUUUCUAAGUCGGGGGUGAAAUCCUGGAGCUCAACUCCAGAACUGCCUUCGAUACUGGAGAGCUUGAGUCCGGGAGAGGUGAGUGGAACUGCGAGUGUAGAGGUGAAAUUCGUAGAUAUUCGCAAGAACACCAGUGGCGAAGGCGGCUCACUGGCCCGGUACUGACGCUGAGGUGCGAAAGCGUGGGGAGCAAACAGGAU